AUUAACUGUCGUUUUGCAAUUAGGAUUGAAGCGUACUUCUCCGCCGUUGGAGAUCGAGGCUUAACCUGUGCUCCAAGAGCGAGCGUUUCAUCUUCUUCCUUAUCAAUCUGCAGUGAUACCGGCCCUCUUCAACUCUUUCUUAAAUACAUACCCAUGAUCUCUCUUGAAUGCGAUCUUAACUCAUGAAAGGCGGUUGAAUUUCGACUAUAAAGGGUGUGGUUGCUCUGUUAUUGGGAGGCCAGGAACAUCAGAUGCGGUGGCGAACUCAUGGGAGUCGAUAUGUUGCUGCUUGAUUCCCAGGUUGUAAAGAAAGAUGAAGAUGUGAAAGUGAUUGUAGCGGGUGAUGACGAUUGGUUGCCUCCGUCACCAAAGGUUGUAUUCGAUGAAAGCAAAGAGUUAGGUGGAGAGUCUACCAUUAAAGCUGUGAGGUAGUUUUGUAUGUGUUGAGUAUUUUUCCAUCUAUGUGCUUACCAGCUUCAUAUUAGAAGCCACGGUGUGAAGACUGCUAGCUUUAAUUUGCUCCUUGGUGAUAUCAUCCAAAUAGUUUCUGUGUUAUACUUUGAUUCUUAAGUUUUGAAUUGAAAUAUCCAAUGUAUUAGAAGCUAUGAUUUUGUAUGUAUGUGCUUCUUAUGUUUCUAUUAGAAGCUACUAUUUUUUCCUCCAACGCUAUAUCUGUUCGUCCUUAAUGACAUCACCCAAAAGUCUCUAUUA